AGGACUGGGUAAGGGGAGUUCAGCACAACUCUCGUGAGAGGCUGCAGCCUCCUCCACUUUGUGAUCUCCUCCCUGCUUCCCUGGGAGGGAUGGAUGAGAUAAUACCUAUGGAUACAGUGGCAGGAAGGCAUCUGGAUUGGAAUCAGGACUCCAGACAGACAAGUCCUGGUUGAGUGGGUGCAGUGUGUGAUAACCCAGGUGCCAGAGGGAUGUGGGCUUGCCCUGGGGCAUUCUCAUGGACACUGAGGUUUCCAGCCUUAUUGCACCAUGGGGAUUUCUCUUAUGUUUUUUGUCUGUUUUGUAAGAUAGCUGGUAAUACUCAAGGAUCAAUAGGGCCUUUGUACCCUUCCACCUUCCCCAGGUGCUCCCCUCCGUCUGAUGCCAGUGGACGUGUUUUGAACAAAGCACAGAGACUCGGCCCACUCGCGC